rnacentral:lncRNA from 1 species
GCUCAAAUAAAAUCAUGGAGAUUGGUAGCAUAGACAUUAAAGAACACACAUAAAUUUUCCAGAAGUUUGUAUCUCUGGAGUUUUUCUGUGUUAUAUUUUUGCAUUUUUUCUUUUUAGCUAUAUUUACAUUUAAGCUGAAACCAUUUAGAAAUAAUAAUAUUACCAUGUGACAAUAUAAACAGGUGUAACAAACGCUAACUUCCCCUUUUAAAAAUAAUCUUUGUUUGACCUUUAUUUUAGAAAUAUUUUGGCCAGCCAGAUGAUUCAGUGUGUAAGGUUGCUCAGUGUUAAACCUGAUGAAACAAGUUUGAUCCUUGAGGCCCACGUGGUAGAAGUAGAAAACUUACUCUUGCAAAUUGUCUUCUGAUUUUCACAAGUGUGCUGUGGCAUCUGAACAAACAGCAGCAUCUCUCUCUCUCUCUCUCUCUCUCUCUCUCUCUCUCUCUCUCUCUCACACACACACACACACACACACACACACACACACUCAACAUAAAUACAUGUUAUUGAAAAAAAAAUAAAUAUUUGAAAGCUGCCUAUGAAGAUAUAUGAGACAUUUCCAUUUGAUUACUAUCUUUCCAUCAAAAUUUAUUUACCCAGGUAUUGGUAUUAUUAAAGCCAACUUUUCCUUGGUAAUCACUUCCAUGGUACCUCAUUUCUAAGAAUUUCUCUCAAGCUUAAUGUAUCAUACCUUCCAGGAAUGUUUCUGGAUGAGAACACAUAGUAAAAUUUACAAGUUUAUCAGAUCUUAUCAACCUUUUGGGAAGAUUCUUCUUUUUUACUAGCCUAGUAUUCUAUGCCUAGUACACUAGACCAAAGCAGUUCUUGAUGUUAUGGUCAGGAAUAAAACUGACCCAAUUUCAGACACACAGGCACUUUCAGUCUACCUGACCGUGUGCUGAAGACAUCUGUGCUUGAAAUAUAUAAAGAUGGAAACUCUGAAACUGGCAAUCAUUUGCAGUCCCCCUCUUUGCUAUCUUCACCAUUUUUGCUCUUAAAGCUCAAAAUUCUGUGCUAAGGUCACAAAAAAUCAUUAAUUUUUAUAUUAUGACAUAAGAUGUUGCACAGUUCUGCUGGAAUAAGGCUCAGUGAUAAAGCACUUGGUGAACUUGAGUGAAGCAUUGGGUGUGUUCUUCAGAAACACACACACACACAUGGAUUGCAAAUAAAAGGCAAUUAGAGCUUUAAAUUUUGUAUAAUUUGGUUUUUGACACUACUCUGGGAAUCUUCUAAAUUCUGAAACUUUAUUUUCAUGAUACACACGCACACACACAUAUAUGUAUACAUAUAAAUAUGUGUGUGUGUGUGUGUGUGUGUGUGUGUGUGUGUAUGUGUAUGUCUAUGCUGCAUACUUGUGUGGGUCAGAGGGCAAAUUUAAUGAGAGGAGCAUUCCAUCCAUCUUCAUUCCUAAGGAGAAAAACCAGCUGAGCCACCUCACCUGGCUUGAACCAAGAAUCUUUGCCUUUUCAAAGGUUAAGUUACAUAUUUCUGCAUUAGGACAAGUAUAUUAAGACUUAUAUCUAUUACUUUAUUUUGUGAUUCCUUCUAAGCAGUCUUUUAUUGCUCUUGCUUAAGGCUGAGAUACGUGAUUCACAUGCAGUAAAAUUCACCAUUCUUUUUGUGCAGCUUAAGGGAUUUUACAAAUGCAUUAAUUACUAUUAUACUAAGAUAGUAAAAUAUAGUGUCCCCAUCUUCCCCAACACCUUUCUUGAAUCCUUGGUUCUCUCCCCCACAUCCUCCCUGCACUUGCAUCAACUGUCUAUAUGUGUUGGCUUUCCUCAAGUAAAAAAUAAAUAAAAUCAUGCAGU